rnacentral:misc_RNA from 1 species
CAGCCGCGUAAUUCCAGCUCCAAUAGCGUAUAUUAAAGUUGUUGCAGUUAAAAAGCUCGUAGUUGAAUUUCGGGAUCAAGGGAUCGGUCAUGCCUUGGUAUGUACUGGUCUUAUUGGUUCUCACCUUCUAAAGAACCAUGAUGUCAUUCAUUUGAUGUUAUGGGGAAUUAGGACUGUUACCUUGAAAAAAUUAGAGUGUUUAAAGCAAGCUUACGCUUGAAUACAUUAGCAUGGAAUAAUGAAAUAGGACAUCAGAUUCUAUUUUGUUGGUUUCUAGGAUCGAUGUAAUGAUUAAUAGGGAUAGUUGGGGGCAUUAGUAUUCAAUUGUCAGAGGUGAAAUUCUUGGAUUGAUUGAAGACUAACUACUGCGAAAGCAUUUGCCAAGGAUGUUUUCAUUAAUCAAGAACGAAAGUUAGGGGAUCGAAGACGAUCAGAUACCGUCGUAGUCUUAACCAUAAACUAUGCCGACUAGGGAUCGGAUGAUGUUAAUUUUUUAAUGACUCAUUCGGCACCUUACG